AUCGCUUCUCGGCCUUUUGGCUAAGAUCAAGUGUAGUAUCUGUUCUCAUCAGUUUAAUAUCUGAUAUGUCCUCCAUCAAGGGACAACAUAUUAAAUGGAUUUUUAGCAAUGGGAGUUGAAAAAGGGGCUUGCUCCAUUCACUCCACGCAUCGACCUGGUAUUGCAGCGCCGCUGGGAACGGUGCACCCUUC
rnacentral:snRNA from 1 species